rnacentral:rRNA from 1 species
AGUGAACGCUGGCGGUAGGCCUAACACAUGCAAGUCGAACGGCAGCACAGGAGAGCUUGCUCUCUGGGUGGCGAGUGGCGGACGGGUGAGGAAUACAUCGGAAUCUGCCCAGUCGUGGGGGAUAACGUAGGGAAACUUACGCUAAUACCGCAUACAACCUUCGGGUGAAAGAGGGGGAUCGCAAGACCUCUCGCGAUUGGAUGAGCCGAUGUCGGAUUAGCUAGUUGGCGGGGUAAUGGCCCACCAAGGCGACGAUCCGUAGCUGGUCUGAGAGGAUGAUCAGCCACACUGGAACUGAGACACGGUCCAGACUCCUACGGGAGGCAGCAGUGGGGAAUAUUGGACAAUGGGCGCAAGCCUGAUCCAGCCAUACCGCGUGGGUGAAGAAGGCCUUCGGGUUGUAAAGCCCUUUUGUUGGGAAAGAAAUCUUUCAGGCUAAUACCCUGGGAGGAUGACGGUACCCAAAGAAUAAGCACCGGCUAACUUCGUG